GUUAAUGAUAAUCACCCUGAUGUGUGUUUCCACAGAAGGAGCGCUUUCUGUCAGCAGGCUGGGAAAGUGUAAACGCACUGGACAUGAUGACCGUCUACAGCGUGCUUCCUCGGGAAGAUGUAGCUAGAAUUGAGCGUCUAGAAUUUUUAGAUGAAAGGGAACUUCUCCAACAGCUUCUCCAACACUACUGCAUCUGCUGGGCUGUAAAAGAUAAGCUCAGUCUAGGCCUCUCGCAAAUUGGGUUUUAAACGUCAAUAGGGACUUGGUUGUAAAAGUUUAAUUUGAAACGACAUCACCAAGAGUGGACAGGACACUCUUCUUGACGCUUUUCAGAGGACAGAAAGGGGAAGUCAUUUAUAUCUUUAUUUCCAUUUUUGAGCACAAUAAAAAUGGAGAGUACUGGCAUCAGCGUCUUUUCUUCUGUUUUACU